rnacentral:lncRNA from 1 species
AUACCAGGAGCAUUAUGGGUAGUAGAGAACAUGAAAACUGUGCUCUGUACUUCCUUGUAGGAAGCUCUCCCCUCAAACUCCUUGAGAUAUGUUAACUUGGAGGAACACCUCCAUUCCCUAUCAUUCUGUUGUAACAAGUCUUCAAAGAGCUGCUUGCUUUCUUCAGCCACAGUAGAUGCCUCCUUGACUGUGAGUACCAGCAGACCACCCAACUGAAGCUAUCAAUGUGGUUUACUCAUCCACAGUUUCUGUGCUGCAACCCUCAUCCCAAGCAGAGAGAACAGCAGGAGGCCUAGCAGUGAGAGGCGCCUGCAGGCCACAAAGCCUCCCAGCAGCGGUCAGAGCCUGCCUGGGAAGAGUAGGCAGCAUGAAAGUCCCAGGAAGACAAUAUGACUAGUUCAGCUUCCAAGAGAAGUGAAUGAUGCAGGGAAGAGCCAGUUCAGUCAGGUGGCAGCAAUCUAGCUCUGGGCUUCCUGGCCUCUGAUAGGGAUCUGCAAGACCCUUGGUGUGAACCAGUAUGCGUGCUGGGGAGAAAUGGGUCACUUUUGGGUCUUGUUAGAUGGACUGUUACACAGACUGAGUGGAUGCUGAUUUAUUCUGAAGGAGGCAGGCAGCCAAGUCUGUAGCUACCCACCUCUGAAUGUGCUGAAGGCAGGGAAGAAAAGAACCCCAAGAGAGGAAUGCGAAUGCCAUAGUCUAAAAGGAAGUUCUAAUUAGCAAUGAGCAUGGGAAACUUAUCUGGAAUUACAAUCAAGCUGGGCACAGAGUACUACUGUCCCCGUCCUAUUCCUCUACCCAGUCCAUGCUACUCAUCAAAGACAAAGAGCCUGGCAGGAAUAAAGAAGCUGCUAAACACAAAACUGUUAAAUCAGUAGUGGUGGCGCACGCCUUUAAUCCUAGUACUUGGGAGGCAGAGGCAGGCGGAUUUCUGAGUUCGAGGCCAGCCUGGUCUACUACAGAGUGAGACAGCCAGAACUACACAGAGAAACCUUAUCUCAAAAAAACCAAAGGAAGGAAG